GGGUUGUGAGGUUAAGCGACUAAGCGUACACGGUGGAUGCCCUGGCAGUCAGAGGCGAUGAAGGACGUGCUAAUCUGCGAAAAGCGUCGGUAAGGUGAUAUGAACCGUUAUAACCGGCGAUGUCCGAAUGGGGAAACCCAGUGUGAUUCGUCACACUAUCGUUAACUGAAUACAUAGGUUAACGAGGCGAACCGGGGGAACUGAAACAUCUAAGUACCCCGAGGAAAAGAAAUCAACCGAGAUUCCCCCAGUAGCGGCGAGCGAACGGGGAGCAGCCCAGAGUCUGAAUCAGCUUGUGUGUUAGUGGAACGGUCUGGAAAGUCCGACGGUACAGGGUGAUAGUCCCGUACACCAAAAUGCACAGGUUGUGAACUCGAAGAGUAGGGCGGGACACGUGGUAUCCUGUCUGAAUAUGGGGGGACCAUCCUCCAAGGCUAAAUACUCCUGACUGACCGAUAGUGAACCAGUACCGUGAGGGAAAGGCGAAAAGAACCCCGGCGAGGGGAGUGAAAAAGAACCUGAAACCGUGUACGUACAAGCAGUGGGAGCACCUUCGGGUGUGACUGCGUACCUUUUGUAUAAUGGGUCAGCGACUUAUAUUCUGUAGCAAGGUUAACCGUAUAGGGGAGCCGCAGGGAAACCGAGUCUUAACUGGGCGUUAAGUUGCAGGGUAUAGACCCGAAACCCGGUGAUCUAGCCAUGGGCAGGUUGAAGGUUGGGUAACACUAACUGGAGGACCGAACCGACUAAUGUUGAAAAAUUAGCGGAUGACUUGUGGCUGGGGGUGAAAGGCCAAUCAAACCGGGAGAUAGCUGGUUCUCCCCGAAAGCUAUUUAGGUAGCGCCUCGUGAACUCAUCUUCGGGGGUAGAGCACUGUUUCGGCUAGGGGGUCAUCCCGACUUACCAACCCGAUGCAAACUACGAAUACCGAAGAAUGUUAUCACGGGAGACACACGGCGGGUGCUAACGUCCGUCGUGAAGAGGGAAACAACCCAGACCGCCAGCUAAGGUCCCAAAGUCAUGGUUAAGUGGGAAACGAUGUGGGAAGGCACAGACAGCCAGGAUGUUGGCUUAGAAGCAGCCAUCAUUUAAAGAAAGCGUAAUAGCUCACUGGUCGAGUCGGCCUGCGCGGAAGAUGUAACGGGGCUAAACCAUGCACCGAAGCUGCGGCAGCGACACUAUGUGUUGUUGGGUAGGGGAGCGUUCUGUAAGCCUGCGAAGGUGUGCUGUGAGGCAUGCUGGAGGUAUCAGAAGUGCGAAUGCUGACAUAAGUAACGAUAAAGCGGGUGAAAAGCCCGCUCGCCGGAAGACCAAGGGUUCCUGUCCAACGUUAAUCGGGGCAGGGUGAGUCGACCCCUAAGGCGAGGCCGAAAGGCGUAGUCGAUGGGAAACAGGUUAAUAUUCCUGUACUUGGUGUUACUGCGAAGGGGGGACGGAGAAGGCUAUGUUAGCCGGGCGACGGUUGUCCCGGUUUAAGCAUGUAGGCUGGUUGUCCAGGCAAAUCCGGAUAAUCAAGGCUGAGGUGUGAUGACGAGGCACUACGGUGCUGAAGUAACAAAUGCCCUGCUUCCAGGAAAAGCCUCUAAGCAUCAGGUAACAUUAAAUCGUACCCCAAACCGACACAGGUGGUCAGGUAGAGAAUACCAAGGCGCUUGAGAGAACUCGGGUGAAGGAACUAGGCAAAAUGGUGCCGUAACUUCGGGAGAAGGCACGCUGGUGUGUAGGUGAAGUCCCUGCGGAUGGAGCUGAGACCAGUCGAAGAUACCAGCUGGCUGCAACUGUUUAUUAAAAACACAGCACUGUGCAAACACGAAAGUGGACGUAUACGGUGUGACGCCUGCCCGGUGCCGGAAGGUUAAUUGAUGGGGUUAUCCGUAAGGAGAAGCUCUUGAUCGAAGCCCCGGUAAACGGCGGCCGUAACUAUAACGGUCCUAAGGUAGCGAAAUUCCUUGUCGGGUAAGUUCCGACCUGCACGAAUGGCGUAAUGAUGGCCAGGCUGUCUCCACCCGAGACUCAGUGAAAUUGAACUCGCUGUGAAGAUGCAGUGUACCCGCGGCAAGACGGAAAGACCCCGUGAACCUUUACUAUAGCUUGACACUGAACAUUGAGCCUUGAUGUGUAGGAUAGGUGGGAGGCUUUGAAGCGUGGACGCCAGUCUGCGUGGAGCCAACCUUGAAAUACCACCCUUUAAUGUUUGAUGUUCUAACGUUGGCCCCUUACCGGGGUUGCGGACAGUGUCUGGUGGGUAGUUUGACUGGGGCGGUCUCCUCCCAAAGCGUAACGGAGGAGCACGAAGGUUAGCUAAUCCUGGUCGGACAUCAGGAGGUUAGUGCAAUGGCAUAAGCUAGCUUGACUGCGAGCGUGACGGCGCGAGCAGGUGCGAAAGCAGGUCAUAGUGAUCCGGUGGUUCUGAAUGGAAGGGCCAUCGCUCAACGGAUAAAAGGUACUCCGGGGAUAACAGGCUGAUACCGCCCAAGAGUUCAUAUCGACGGCGGUGUUUGGCACCUCGAUGUCGGCUCAUCACAUCCUGGGGCUGAAGUAGGUCCCAAGGGUAUGGCUGUUCGCCAUUUAAAGUGGUACGCGAGCUGGGUUUAGAACGUCGUGAGACAGUUCGGUCCCUAUCUGCCGUGGGCGCUGGAGAAUUGAGGGGGGCUGCUCCUAGUACGAGAGGACCGGAGUGGACGCAUCACUGGUGUUCGGGUUGUCAUGCCAAUGGCACUGCCCGGUAGCUAAAUGCGGAAGAGAUAAGUGCUGAAAGCAUCUAAGCACGAAACUUGCCCCGAGAUGAGUUCUCCCUGAGACUUUAAGUCUCCUGAAGGAACGUUGAAGACGACGACGUUGAUAGGCCGGGUGUGUAAGCGCAGCGAUGCGUUGAGCUAACCGGUACUAAUGAACCGUGAGGCUUAACCUUACAACGCCGAAG
rnacentral:rRNA from 1 species